AUCCUUGCCUUUCAGGGGAGAUACCAUGCUCACAAAGGUGAUUUUCCUAGGGCAAGGUUUGUCCAUCACAUUCUGGAUGUGCUGACCCCUGUCAUUCCCCAAAUAUGAAAAACUAGCUGCAAAAUUUAUGGCAGUAGAGGACCAUGUUUAAGAUCCUCCC